rnacentral:rRNA from 1 species
GUCUGUGUGGGUUGUUGAUGCGCAGUCUGGCCUGCCCCCUGAGGUUUUAAAGGGCCGCGGUAUUUGGACCGUGCUAAGGUAGCAUAAUAAAUAGUCUUUUAAUUGAAGUCUAGUAUGAAUGGUCGGACAUGAAGUGAGCUGUUUCAACUUUAAUAAUUGAAUUUUACUUUUAAGUGAAAAGGCUUAGAUCAAACAGUGGGACGAUAAGACCCUAUAAAGCUUUACAUUCUAUUUAUUGGCCUAGGGAGCUAGGGUUUUCUAUCCUUAUUGAGUAGAGUGUUUCGUUGGGGCGACGGGAAUAAAAAUAGUAACUGUUUUUUAUAUAAAAAUAUAUAUUUAUAGGUGGGUUGAUCCUUUUUAGAGAUUAAAAGAUUUAAGUUACUUUAGGGAUAACAGCGUAAUUUCUCUUGAGAGUCCAUAUCGACAGGUGUAGUUGCGACCUCGAUGUUGAAUUAAAAUGUCUCCAAAGUGUAGCAGUUUUGGUGGUAGGUCUGUUCGACCUUUAAAAUUUUACAUGAUUUGAGUUCAGACCGGCGUG